rnacentral:rRNA from 1 species
AACGUAGGAGACAAACGUUAUCCGGAGUUACUGGGCGUAAAGGGCGUGUAGGUGGUUGCGUAAGUCUGGCGUGAAAUAUCUCGGCUUAACCGAGGCAGGUCGUCGGAUACUGCGUAACUGGAGGACGGUAGAGGCGUGUGGAAUUCCGGGUGUAGUGGUGGAAUGCGUAGAUAUCCGGAGGAACACCAGUGGCGAAAGCGGCUCUCUGGGGGCAACCUGACGCUGAGGCGCGAAAGCGUGGGGAGCGAACCGG